CAGCCGCCACGGUAAAACGUAGGGUGCAAGCGUUAAUCGGAAUUACUGGGCGUAAAGCGUGCGCAGGCGGUUAUAUAAGACAGAUGUGAAAUCCCCGGGCUCAACCUGGGAACUGCAUUUGUGACUGUAUAGCUAGAGUACGGCAGAGGGGGAUGGAAUUCCGCGUGUAGCAGUGAAAUGCGUAGAUAUGCGGAGGAACACCGAUGGCGAAGGCAAUCCCCUGGGCCUGUACUGACGCUCAUGCACGAAAGCGUGGGGAGCAAACAGGAUUAGAUACCCGUGUAGUCCCUGUCUCUUAUAC
rnacentral:rRNA from 1 species